UGGGGAAUAUUGCACAAUGGGGGAAACCCUGAUGCAGCCAUGCCGCGUGUGUGAAGAAGGCCUUCGGGUUGUAAAGCACUUUCAGCGAGGAGGAAAGGUGGCUAGCUAAUACCUAGUUGCUGUGACGUUACUCGCAGAAGAAGCACCGGCUAACUCCGUGCCAGCAGCCGCGGUAAUACGGAGGGUGCAAGCGUUAAUCGGAAUUACUGGGCGUAAAGCGCACGCAGGCGGUCAGAUAAGUCAGAUGUGAAAGCCCCGGGCUCAACCUGGGAACUGCAUUUGAAACUGUCUGACUAGAGUGUUGUAGAGGGGGGUAGAAUUCCAGGUGUAGCGGUGAAAUGCGUAGAGAUCUGGAGGAAUACCGGUGGCGAAGGCGGCCCCCUGGACAAAGACUGACGCUCAGGUGCGAAAGCGUGGGGAGCAAACA
rnacentral:rRNA from 1 species